rnacentral:rRNA from 1 species
UACGUAGGGGGCAAGCGUUGUCCGGAUUUAUUGGGCGUAAAGAGCUCGUAGGCGGUCUGUCGCGUCGGAUGUGAAAACUCGGGGCUCAACCCCGAGCCUGCAUUCGAUACGGGCAGACUAGAGUUCAGUAGGGGAGACUGGAAUUCCUGGUGUAGCGGUGAAAUGCGCAGAUAUCAGGAGGAACACCGGUGGCGAAGGCGGGUCUCUGGGCCGAUACUGACGCUGAGGAGCGAAAGCGUGGGGAGCGAACAGG